rnacentral:rRNA from 1 species
UACGUAGGGUGCAAGCGUUAAUCGGAAUUACUGGGCGUAAAGAGCUCGUAGGCGGUCCGUCACGUCGGAUGUGAAAUUCCAGGGCUCAACCCUGGACCUGCAUUCGAUACGGGCGGACUAGAGUUCGGUAGGGGAGACUGGAAUUCCUGGUGUAGCGGUGAAAUGCGCAGAUAUCAGGAGGAACACCGGUGGCGAAGGCGGGUCUCUGGGCCGAUACUGACGUGAGGAGCGAAAGCGUGGGGAGCAAACAGG